UUAAUGGAGAGUUUGAUCCUGGCUCAGGACGAACGCUGGCGGCGUGCUUAACACAUGCAAGUCGAGCGGAAAGGCCCCUUCGGGGGUACUCGAGCGGCGAACGGGUGA
rfam:Actinomadura madurae strain DSM 43067 genome assembly, contig: Ga0074857_132